UAGAAAUAACCCACAACCAAUGCACCACCACCAUGAUAUCAACAUUGGACUUUAUAGCCUCCUCAGCAGAGAAGAUUGACACCUUUUUCAGCGGGCUCUCAGAAUGUGGAGUUUUAGCCCAGUAUGAGCUGCAGCUCCUUGUUCCUGACUUUGAUGUUGAGCGCAAACACAGAGUUCUCAUAAUCUAUGAAAAUUUCCUGGAAGACAUUCAGCGGCUGCUGACCAUGCUGGAGGGCAUUUUGCCGGAGGGAGCAGUGGACCCGCCAUGUCCUGCCACCGGUGACGGACAGCAGCGGUCCAUGUGGUCUUCAGCAGAGCUGCCGCCGGGGCCGGAGUCGACUCCGCUCCCAGGGCGCGCGUGCGCCGUCGGCGCUCCAUCCGUCUCGUCCCCCCGUCGCGACGCCGGGUCACACCUGGUGACGGUGCUGGCCCCGGCGGAGGCCUCUCCGUCGUUCCUGCCCGCCCCGGCCACUGCCGUCGGUGGCACUGCCCCCGCCCUGCCCUUGGCCUCGGCCCCAAAAGCCGUGAGCUCGACUGGGGUCGGCUUAAACACGGUCGCCGCGGCGGGCGAUGGCGACGCGCUGGCCCCAAGCGGGGCUGCCAAGGAGAGCGGCGGCCGGCGAGGCUCUGGUGUCUCCGCGGGGCUGGCUCUGACAGCGCAGCCGUUGGCUGCCACCGGGCGGGGCUCGGCUCCUGGGAUGUCGCCAGCGCGUGAUGUGACGACGCCGGGGUCGGCGUCACGUGACUCGAGUGCGACCGCGCCGGUAGACGCACCGGAGGCCGCUGUGCCCAUGCGUACCGCGUCGGCCGCUGCCGUCGUGGCCGCCCGGACUGCACCCCAUACCGCUCUUGAGACGAUGCGGGAGGUCCCGGUGGCGGUGACUGA